rnacentral:rRNA from 1 species
GACAGAGGGGGCAAGCGUUGCUCGGAAUUACUGGGCGUAAAGGGCGCGUAGGCGGGAUGGCAAGUCGGUCGUGAAAUCCUUCGGCUCAACCGAAGAACGUCGAUCGAUACUGCUGUUCUUGAGGGUUGCAGAGGAGACUGGAAUUCCCGGUGUAGCGGUGAAAUGCGUAGAUAUCGUAAGGAAGACCAGUGGCGAAGGCGGGUCUCUGGACAGUUCCUGACGCUGAGGCACGAAGGCCAGGGGAGCAAACGGG